rnacentral:rRNA from 1 species
CGAAAGCCUGACGGAGCAACGCCGCGUGAGGGAUGAAGGCCUCUGGGCUGUAAACCUCUUUUAUCAAGGAAGAAGAUCUGACGGUACUUGAUGAAUAAGCCACGGCUAAUUCCGUGCCAGCAGCCGCGGUAAUACGGGAGUGGCAAGCGUUAUCCGGAAUUAUUGGGCGUAAAGCGUCCGCAGGCGGCCUGACAAGUCUGCUGUUAAAGCGUGGAGCUUAACUCCAUUUCAGCAGUGUGAACUGUCAGGCUUGAGUGUGGUAGGGGCAGAGGGAAUUCCCGGUGUAGCGGUGAAAUGCGUAGAUAUCGGGAAGAACACCAGUGGCGAAAGCGCUCUGCUGGGCCAUCACUGACGCUCAUGGACGAAAGCCAGGGGAGCG